CAAUAGCGUAUAUUAAAGUUGUUGCAGUUAAAAAGCUCGUAGUUGGAUUUCUGGGAGGGUGCCAAUGUCCGCCGUCGUGCGUGCGCAGCGGCGCCCUUCCAUCCUUCUGUUAACGCCUCUUGGCAUUCAUUUGCUGGUGGCGGGCUCAGAUAUUUUACCUUGAGAAAAUUAGAGUGUUUCAGGCAGGCUAGGCCGGAAUACAUUAGCAUGGAAUAAUGGAAUAGGACUACGGCCUCGUUGUUGGUUUGAGGGACUGCAGUAAUGAUUAAUAGGGAUAGUUGGGGGCAUUAGUAUUUAAUUGUCAGAGGUGGAAUUCUCGGAUUUGUUAAAGACUAACUUAUGCGAAAGCAUCUGCCAAGGAUGUUUNCAUUA
rnacentral:rRNA from 1 species